CCAUUCCUUAUUUUCUCUAUAAAUAUCUUAACCCCUAUUUUUCUUGACUCUUCUCUUUUUACUGUCUGUCUCCAAUCUCGUCCAGGCUGCUAGUGGUGGUGGCAAACUCCGCCCACAAGAAUGCAACUCAAAGUGUAGCUACCGUUGUUCGGCAACAUCACACAAGAAGCCAUGCAUGUUCUUUUGCCUCAAGUGCUGCACAAAAUGCCUUUGUGUUCCUGCAGGCACUUACGGCAACAAACAAAGUUGCCCAUGUUACAACAAUUGGAAGACUAAAGAAGGCCGUCCAAAAUGUCCUUGAAACUGCUUCUUAUAUAUACUUGAUCAUAUCUAGUUUUGUAUCAAUCAAUUAUGUUGUUUAAACCUGUUUCUACAAGUUGGUAGGAACUCUAUUUGUCUUUAUAGGCUUUAUUUUGUUAUAUCUUUUGCUCUUUUUUGUUGUUGUUGUUGUUGCUUUAUGACCAAACAUUAGUAAAGAUGACUAAAGAUUAUCUUGGUUA